GACGGAGGGGGCAAGCGUUGUCCGGACUCACUGGGCGUAAAGGGUGCGCAGGCGGUCCUGUGCGUCGGCGCUGAAAGCGCCCGGCUUAACCGGGCGAGGUGCGGCGAUACGAUAGGACUGGAGGCUCGGAGAGGGUGGCGGAACUCCUGGUGUAGUGGUGAAAUUCGUAGAUAUUGGGAAGAACACCCGUGGCGAAGGCGGCCAUCUGGACCGGUACUGACGCUAAGGCGCGACAGCGUGGGGAGCAAACAGG
rnacentral:rRNA from 1 species